GGUAAUUCCAGCUCCAGUAGCGUAUAUUAAAGCUGUUGCAGUUAAAAAGCUCGUAGUUGGAUCUUGGGCCCAGGCCUGCGGUCCGCCGUGAGGCGUGUACUGCAGUCCUGGCCUUCCUCUCGGUUUUCGCCCGGUGCCCUUAAUUGAGUGCCAGGAGAGGCCGGAACGUUUACUUUGAAAAAAUUGGAGUGUUCAAAGCAGGCCUCGCGCCUGAACAGCAGAGCAUGGAAUAAUGGAAUAGGACCUCGGUUCUAUUGCGUUGGUUUUCGGAACUCGAGGUAAUGAUUAAGAGGGACUGACGGGGGCAUUCGUAUUGCGGUGUGAGAGGUGAAAUUCUUGGAUCGCCGCAAGACGACCGACUGCGAAAGCAUUUGCCAAGAAUGUUUUCAUUAAUCAAGAACGAAAGUUAGAGGUUCGAAGGCGAUCAGAUACCGCCCUAGUUCUAACCAUAAACGAUGCCGACUGACGAUCCGCCGGCGUUACUCCCAUGACGCGGCGGGCAGUCUAAGGGAAACCAAAGUCUUUGGGUUCCGGGGGAAGUAUGGUUGCAAAGCUGAAACUUAAAGGAAUGACGGAAGGCACCACC
rnacentral:rRNA from 1 species